rnacentral:rRNA from 1 species
AGGCAGCAGUAGGGAAUCUUCGGCAAUGGGGGCAACCCUGACCGAGCAACGCCGCGUGAGUGAAGAAGGUUUUCGGAUCGUAAAGCUCUGUUGUAAGAGAAGAACGAGUGUGAGAGUGGAAAGUUCACACUGUGACGGUAACUUACCAGAAAGGGACGGCUAACUACGUGCCAGCAGCCGCGGUAAUACGUAGGUCCCGAGCGUUAUCCGGAUUUAUUGGGCGUAAAGCGAGCGCAGGCGGUUAGAUAAGUCUGAAGUUAAAGGCUGUGGCUUAACCAUAGUACGCUUUGGAAACUGUUUAACUUGAGUGCAGAAGGGGAGAGUGGAAUUCCAUGUGUAGCGGUGAAAUGCGUAGAUAUAUGGAGGAACACCGGUGGCGAAAGCGGCUCUCUGGUCUGUAACUGACGCUGAGGCUCGAAAGCGUGGGGAGCAAACAGGAUUAGAUACCCUGGUAGUCCACGCCGUAAACGAUGAGUGCUAGGUGUUGGGUCCUUUCCGGGACUCAGUGCCGCAGCUAACGCAUUAAGCACUCCGCCUGGGGAGUACGACCGCAAGGUUG